AACUUUAUAAUAUAAUGGAAUCGCUUUACAUAUUUGCGGAGAAACAACACAACAGUUUUCGUCUAUGAAUACGAAAUAAAAAAUCUAAAUAAAAAUUAUAUUAAUCCUUUCGGUACGAGUUGUUUUUUAACAUCGAUGAUAAAGAAAAUAAUCACAGACUGGAUGCAUAAACAUUCGUAGACCACAUCAAUGGAAUUUUUUCUGAUGAAUAUGAUGUACUUCCUCUGUAGGAAAGUAUGAGAUGACUUGUUUGUUUAUAAGAAAUGUUCAAGAGCAGUUAUGAAAUCAUUUAUGGAUUUCACUACGUUUUACAUAUUCGAAACUUUCCAUCUUUGCAUUCCUUUUCUGUCUCUCCUUUCUCAUGAAUACUCGAAUACAUGACUUUUUCAAAUGUAA